GGACUACACGGGUUUCUAAUCCUGUUUGCUACCCACGCUUUCGUGUCUCAGUGUCAGUAAUGGUCCAGAAAGCCGUCUACACCGCAGGUGUUCCUCCUGAUAUCUACGCAUUUCACCGCUACACCAGGAAUUCCACUUUCCCAUCCCAUACUCUAGCCUCCCAGUCUUCGGCGCACCCUCCCGGUUGAGCCGGGAGAUUUCACACCAAACUUAGAAAGCCACCUACACACCCUUUACGCCCAGUAACUCCGAACAACGCUUGCUGCCUACGUAUUACCGCGGCUGCUGGCAC
rnacentral:rRNA from 1 species